GACGAACGCUGGCGGCGUGCCUAAUACAUGCAAGUCGAGCGGAACCAUUGGAGCUUGCUCCUUUGGUUUAGCGGCGGACGGGUGAGUAACACGUGGGCAACCUGCCCUGCAGAUCGGGAUAACUCCGGGAAACCGGUGCUAAUACCGAAUAGUUUGCGGCCUCUCAUGAGGCUGUACGGAAAGACGGUUUCGGCUGUCACUGCAGGAUGGGCCCGCGGCGCAUUAGCUAGUUGGUGAGGUAACGGCUCACCAAGGCCACGAUGCGUAGCCGACCUGAGAGGGUGAUCGGCCACACUGGGACUGAGACACGGCCCAGACUCCGACGGGAGGCAGCAGUAGGGAAUCUUCCGCAAUGGACGAAAGUCUGACGGAGCAACGCCGCGUGAGUGAAGAAGGUUUUCGGAUCGUAAAACUCUGUUGUGAGGGAAGAACAAGUACCAAUUAACUACUGGUACCUUGACGGUACCUCACCAGAAAGCCACGGCUAACUACGUGCCAGCCGCCGCAGUAACAC
rnacentral:rRNA from 1 species